rnacentral:rRNA from 1 species
UACGUAGGGGGCGAGCGUUGUCCGGAUUUAUUGGGCGUAAAGAGCUCGUAGGCGGCUUGGCAAGUCGGGUGUGAAAUCUUGGAGCUUAACUCCGAAACUGCAUUCGAUACUGCCGUGCUUGAGGACUGGAGAGGAGACUGGAAUUUACGGUGUAGCGGUGAAAUGCGUAGAUAUCGUAAGGAAGACCAGUGGCGAAGGCGGGUCUCUGGACAGUUCCUGACGCUGAGGCACGAAGGCCAGGGGAGCAAACGGG